CAAUAGCGUAUAUUGAAGUUGUUGCAGUUAAAACGCUCGUAGUCGGAUUUCGGGGCGGGCCUGCCGGUCUGCCGAUCGGUACGCACUGGCGGGCGCGUCCUUCCUUCCGGAGACCGCGCCUCCUCUUAACUGAGCGGGCGUGGGAGACGGAUCGUUUACUUUGAAAAAAUCAGAGUGUUUCAAGCAGGCAGCUCGCUCUUGCAUGGAUUAGCAUGGGAUAAUGAAAUAGGACUCUGGUGCUAUUUUGUUGGUUUCGAACGCCGGAGUAAUGGUCAACAGGGACAGUCAGGGGCACUCGUAUUCCGCCGAGAGAGGUGAAAUUCUCAGACCAGCGGAAGACGAACCACUGCGAAAGCAUUUGCCAGGGAUGUUUUCACUGA
rnacentral:rRNA from 1 species